CCCCUCUCAGGAUCACACCUGGAGAGUUUCCAGUAUUCUAUCUGUUUCAGCUAUGGGAGGGACAGUCAAGCAGAGGCAUACCCAUUCCAUUCCUAGCUUGAGCAGUGGCUAGAGAGUGGAAGGCAGUCUGUUACAAGU